rnacentral:rRNA from 1 species
AUUAAUUCGAUGCAACGCGUAGAACCUUACCUGGGUUUGACAUGGAUCGGGAGUGCUCAGAGAUGGGUGUGCCUCUUUUGGGGUCGGUUCACAGGUGGUGCAUGGCUGUCGUCAGCUCGUGUCGUGAGAUGUUGGGUUAAGUCCCGCAACGAGCGCAACCCUUAAGCUUAGUUGCCAUCAUUAAGUUGGGCACUCUAAGUUGACUGCCGGUGACAAACCGGAGGAGGGUGGGGAUGACGUCAAAUCAUCAUGCCCCUUAUGAUUUGGGCUACACACGUGCUACAAUGGACAAUACAAAGGGUAGCAAAACCGCGAGGUCAAGCAAAUCCCAUAAAGUUGUUCUCAGUUCGGAUUGUAGUCUGCAACUCGACUACAUGAAGCUGGAAUCGCUAGUAAUCGUAGAUCAGCAUGCUA